rnacentral:rRNA from 1 species
UGCAAGUCGAGCGGUAGCACAGAGAGCUUGCUCUCGGGUGACGAGCGGCGGACGGSUGAGUAAUGUCUGGGAAACUGCCUGAUGGAGGGGGAUAACUACUGGAAACGGUAGCUAAUACCGCAUAACGUCGCAAGACCAAAGUGGGGGACCUUCGGGCCUCAUGCCAUCAGAUGUGCCCAGAUGGGAUUAGCUAGUAGGUGGGGUAAUGGCUCACCUAGGCGACGAUCCCUAGCUGGUCUGAGAGGAUGACCAGCCACACUGGAACUGAGACACGGUCCAGACUCCUACGGGAGGCAGCAGUGGGGAAUAUUGCACAAUGGGCGCAAGCCUGAUGCAGCCAUGCCGCGUGUAUGAAGAAGGCCUUCGGGUUGUAAAGUACUUUCAGCGAGGAGGAAGGCRUUAAGGUUAAUAACCUURGUGAUUGACGUUACUCGCAGAAGAAGCACCGGCUAACUCCGUGCCAGCAGCCGCGGUAAUACGGAGGGUGCAAGCGUUAAUCGGAAUUACUGGGCGUAAAGCGCACGCAGGCGGUCUGUCAAGUCGGAUGUGAAAUCCCCGGGCUCAACCUGGGAACUGCAUUCGAAACUGGCAGGCUAGAGUCU